CCACCUGACCCCAUGCCGAACUCAGCAGUGAAACGCCGUAGCGCCGAUGGUAGUGUGGGGUCUCCCCAUGUGAGAGUAGGACACUGCCAGAC
rnacentral:rRNA from 1 species